rnacentral:rRNA from 1 species
UGUGAACUCGAAGAGUAGGGCGGGACACGUGGUAUCCUGUCUGAAUAUGGGGGGACCAUCCUCCAAGGCUAAAUACUCCUGACUGACCGAUAGUGAACCAGUACCGUGAGGGAAAGGCGAAAAGAACCCCGGCGAGGGGAGUGAAAAAGAACCUGAAACCGUGUACGUACAAGCAGUGGGAGCACCUUCGGGUGUGACUGCGUACCUUUUGUAUAAUGGGUCAGCGACUUAUAUUCUGUAGCAAGGUUAACCGUAUAGGGGAGCCGCAGGGAAACCGAGUCUUAACUGGGCGUUAAGUUGCAGGGUAUAGACCCGAAACCCGGUGAUCUAGCCAUGGGCAGGUUGAAGGUUGGGUAACACUAACUGGAGGACCGAACCGACUAAUGUUGAAAAAUUAGCGGAUGACUUGUGGCUGGGGGUGAAAGGCCAAUCAAACCGGGAGAUAGCUGGUUCUCCCCGAAAGCUAUUUAGGUAGCGCCUCGUGAAUUCAUCUUCGGGGGUAGAGCACUGUUUCGGCUAGGGGGUCAUCCCGACUUACCAACCCGAUGCAAACUACGAAUACCGAAGAAUGUUAUCACGGGAGACACACGGCGGGUGCUAACGUCCGUCGUGAAGAGGGAAACAACCCAGACCGCCAGCUAAGGUCCCAAAGUCAUGGUUAAGUGGGAAACGAUGUGGGAAGGCACAGACAGCCAGGAUGUUGGCUUAGAAGCAGCCAUCAUUUAAAGAAAGCGUAAUAGCUCACUGGUCGAGUCGGCCUGCGCGGAAGAUGUAACGGGGCUAAACCAUGCACCGAAGCUGCGGCAGCGACACUAUGUGUUGUUGGGUAGGGGAGCGUUCUGUAAGCCUGCGAAGGUGACCUGUGAGGGUUGCUGGAGGUAUCAGAAGUGCGAAUGCUGACAUAAGUAACGAUAAAGCGGGUGAAAAGCCCGCUCGCCGGAAGACCAAGGGUUCCUGUCCAACGUUAAUCGGGGCAGGGUGAGUCGACCCCUAAGGCGAGGCCGAAAGGCGUAGUCGAUGGGAAACAGGUUAAUAUUCCUGUACUUGGUGUUACUGCGAAGGGGGGACGGAGAAGGCUAUGUUAGCCGGGCGACGGUUGUCCCGGUUUAAGCAUGUAGGCUGGUUGUCCAGGCAAAUCCGGAUAAUCAAGGCUGAGGUGUGAUGACGAGGCACUACGGUGCUGAAGUAACAAAUGCCCUGCUUCCAGGAAAAGCCUCUAAGCAUCAGGUAACAUCAAAUCGUACCCCAAACCGACACAGGUGGUCAGGUAGAGAAUACCAAGGCGCUUGAGAGAACUCGGGUGAAGGAACUAGGCAAAAUGGUGCCGUAACUUCGGGAGAAGGCACGCUGGUGUGUAGGUGAAGCCCCUGCGGGUGGAGCUGAGACCAGUCGAAGAUACCAGCUGGCUGCAACUGUUUAUUAAAAACACAGCACUGUGCAAACACGAAAGU